AUACCAUUCAGUUGUCACACAUGUCCUUUACCACUUCUGUGACACAAGUUUGAUAACUAAACUUUGUUGUUGUAUGUACAUGUACUUUCUUUGGAGACACCAUUUGUCUCCCAACAAAUCGGAAAAUGAUCAAGAUAGUGACUCUGAUUGAUUCACAUAUUGUAUUGACAUACGACUGUUGACAUUGCUUUUUAUUCUUCAAUAUUUCAGUGAGCCAUGCUUUGGAAAUGAC